GACGAACGCUGGCGGCGUGCUUAACACAUGCAAGUCGAACGGAAAGGCCCUGCUUUUGUGGGGUGCUCGAGUGGCGAACGGGUGAGUAACACGUGUGUAACCUGCCCUUGACUUUGGGAUAACUUCAGGAAACUGGGGCUAAUACCGGAUAGGAGCUCCUGCUGCAUGGUGGGGGUUGGAAAGUUUCGGCGGUUGGGGAUGGACUCGCGGCUUAUCAGCUUGUUGGUGGGGUAGUGGCUUACCAAGGCUUUGACGGGUAGCCGGCCUGAGAGGGUGACCGGGCACCAUGCGACUGCGAGAGGCAGCAGACGCCAACGGGAGGCAGCGGGGGGGAGUAUUGCACAAUGGGCGCGAGCCUGAGGCAGAAACGCCGCGUGCGGGAUGACGGCCUUCGGGGGGUGAACCGCUUUCGCCUGUGACGAAGCGGGAGUGACGGUAAUGGGUAAAGAAGCACCGGCUAACUACGUG
rnacentral:rRNA from 1 species